GGGAAGCACGGCACUGCGCACCUCGGGCUUAGGGCAGCUAUCCGCAAGCCUGCGGAGCCCUGCGGGAGUUCCCGCCGGGCGCCGCAGGCUUGCGGGUAGCUGCCCUAAGCCCGGGGUGCGCAGCGGGCUACAGCGCUGUACUCCC